UAGCUCAGGGGUUAGAGCGAGCGCUUCAUAAGCGUUAGGCCGGAGGUUCAAAUCCUCC
rnacentral:tRNA from 1 species